rnacentral:sRNA from 1 species
UGCAUGAUUCUCGUCAGUUGUUCGAUUUGUCAAUCACUGUUCAGGGGUGCUUUUUGGGAACCGUUCAUAGGUUGGUUGCAUGUGCUCCAUACUCCGCUGUGGGGUGAAUUGAAUGUUGCAAUUUGGAGCGAUGGACAUGAUUACAGGAUCUGAUAGUUAGGUAUUGACCAUCUCUCUCGACCGAUGAUGGGGAUCAUCUCCUGUCAAAGAAAAGAAGAGGAGGAAGCGACUUGGCUAGGUAGGCCUAGUGGAAGGGCAUCUCAAAAGCAUCUCUGCAUGGACAUCUCUCUCUCUCUCUCUCUCUCUCUUGUCACCAGGACACCAACCACAAGACACGAGACACCAACAGCCAACACCUAACAACCAACAACCAACAGCCAGCACCAUCCAUCGACCAUGACCAUCCCCCACUGCAUCUAAAUAUAGUUGCUGUGUGUGGCUCCCCCUGACUCCGACUGCAUGAACCACCCAGGCUCCCAGCCAGCGAGAGCGGGGCCGUCUGCGGGCAUCCUGGGUAUACACAGUGUAAGGCCUUGCGAGUCGACUCGGGCUGAGAAACGGUAUUACAAUACGGUACUGUAAUGCCUGUAAUGCCUGUACUGCCCCAUGCAGAAAAUUCCUCUCUCAAAAUAACACGGCUGGGAUGAUAUUUCAAGCGCAGAUCUUAACAUGAUUCGACGCUUUCUGGCCGCCCGGUUCUUGCUUAUUCCUUCGCGUAUGAGAGCUGACUAGCUAGCUAGCUCCUAACUAGCUAAAUGGCUUACGAUUUCUGAUAAACUACCGCUUAACGCCUGUCUCAGCUGGCUGUGUCGCGGGUACUGGGAUGGAUGUGGCUGGUGGCUGUGAUGGCUCUAUGGAGGCGCAUGUAGGCGUCGGCAUCGGAGAAAUCUUUGAUGAUUUUUAACUACUUGAUGACAGCGCUGACUGAUAUGACGGAUGGUUGAAGGAAAGAUGCAGCACUCUCAUUAUCAGGCUCAAGCAUCCUGAGGUAGGUGGAAGCGGAGCUUGUCCCUGAUCGAAUGGUGCAGAAAGAAACCCUCAAUAUCUUUAGCAUAUCGUAUACAUUUUCUUCUGCCCUUGCAGCCGGUUUCGGCCUUUGACAAGCGGUGGCUGUCCGAUGCAUUUUUUUUUGGGACACUCGUCUGCGGACCACCACAAUUGGAUGAUGCUACGGUAAUUUUGUGGAUACUCUUUUUCCCAGUUCAGCCCUCAGGCAGAAGAGGGGUGGCAGAGGAGCGGGAAGCGAGGCAAUGACCUACAGCGUACCUGAUCACAGCGGACACUGGCAUCACAAGGCGCUGUAGGGCUGAAGGAGGAAGUGGAUGAUAGGACCGGACAAGGUUCGAAGGUUUGCCAAGUGAAACUAAACUAAAGCAGGGGGGAAAUUGCAAUUGAGACGAGAAAAGAAUGCAAUGGUUUAUCUUCCAAUAUCAUCCUUUGUCCUGUCCAAAUGCCCGCUUCGUCAAUCAUCAUACACGUGGGUGCUAUGAGAAUCCAUCCAUGCACACUGAUGACUGGGAACGGGGGAGAUCUCCCUCCUC